rnacentral:tRNA from 1 species
AAAAAAGGUGGCAGAUAGAUGCCUAGGUUUUAAGUACCUAUUAGAAGUAUAUACUUCCUUUUUU